rnacentral:lncRNA from 1 species
GCCGGAGCUGCGCUUUAAUAAAGCGGAUCGCCGGAUUGUUGCAAAAGCUCCACAUAGUCGUGCUCUCGACCUCCUUCGCACACUCACCUCUGUCACCGCUCAUUGUGUUCCGCCUCCGCGCUGCCCUCCUUUGCAUUUUUAAAGCAUUUUCUCGGCUCCUCCGCGUUUUCUCGUCCACGGCUCUUUCAUUGCUCCCGAGUCUUUUGUUCUUGCGAGUCCUUGAGCGAGCACCUUAGCUCGCCCCAGUCCACAGCAGCCGAGUAUGAGUGAGAUUGCCGACACGGAUGCGCCUUCAGUUUUCCAUAUAGGCAAAUCCGUGACGCUGCUCACGAUCCAUGCAUUGAUCGGGAAGGAUCCUCCAUCGAAAAUAAUGGGCUUCGCACUUUUCGCAUGGGGUCCACCAGCUCUUUUCCUUUCAUUUUCACAAGUAGCAUGACUCUAUGCAUGAGGCCCUCUCUAAUCGGAAACUUCCGUGCCCAUCUGUACAAAGUUGCUAUGUCCGCGUAUGGGUGCUUUUUCACCAGCCUGAAAUAUCGGCAUGGAAAAGAAGAGGAAUUUGCAGCUUCAAGCUCUCCUACACUUUUGCAGACCCUAUACAGAAGAUAGACAGAAUAAUUGAGGAAAAUAGGGAAAUUCUAGAAGAUCUAGAUGCAGAGCAGGCAAGACGCUUGGCGCUUGGCCACCCCUGAAACUGAUUACUCCGAUAUUGAUAAACCAAGAGAGGAAGACUGGCCGUGGAAAUUGGCAACUGCGGAACAUCGUUCAAGAGGCAGGUUCCGGGGGAGAAGUGACUUGAGGCUAAUGAAAGAAAGAACAAGAAAAAGAGGGUAAGAUUUUGAUUCAAAAGAGCAUAAUUCAGUCUCAAUCAACCCCUUGUGUAAAAUGCCUGUGUUCAAUUUAAGACCCUAUUAACUUUAAUUAUAAAAAGAAGCGCGGAGAAAAUAUAAGACUCUUGCGUUGCGUAUUGACUUUUUUAUCGGGAGCCGCCCGCGAAUUUUUGCCUGCGAACGCCUUGAUAAAGCCUCGGCCUCCCAUUCCUUGAGAACUUUCCGCUUCCUUGUUUAUUUUUUCCCUGGUUUCCCCUCAAUACUUAAUGACGUAGUGCUCCUCAAACUCGCUCUUACUUAUUGAGAUUGAAAUUUUCAAACAGAACAUACUUACCCGCUUUCUGUUUCUGUAUAGAAUUUCCUGUGGGUACAGGGUCUUCAUAUCAUUCAUCAAAAGUUAGUCAGGGAGUGGUAGACGUUAUCAAUGCAUGAGUAGUGUAUAAAUGAGGAUAUACGGACACUUGACCUUUGACAUUUAAGCUGUCACCAGAGGAAAUCGGUGUGACGCCACUAGCGACUGUUACGGGUUGCCUACCUAUCGUUACCAUAUGGGCCCCCCCCCUCCCCCUCCCACCUACGUCACCCGGGCAGCUACACAGAUUGCCUACCCAGCAAGGGG